rnacentral:tRNA from 1 species
GGGCGAUUAGCUCAGUUGGGAGAGCACCUGCCUUACAAGCAGGGGGUCAGAAGUUCGAGUCUUCUAUCGCCCACCA